rnacentral:tRNA from 1 species
GAACCAGUGUAGUGGUUUGAGUAUUAGACUAUGACUCCGGAGGCCAGGGUUCGAUUCCCUGCUUGGCCA